CAAGCACCAUGUGCUGCAGCCCCACAACCACCCUAGUACACAGACUUAUCCAUCAGCCACUGCCACCGCCACCGCCACCGCCGCCAUGCUCCCCGACUCCCCGCUCGCCGUCGUCUUCUCCCCUCCCACUGCAAAUCCGUGCGCCCAAGAUCCCCUACCGCUGCGUAGAUGCCCCACUUCCAGACCGCCGGAUCAACGCCGCCGAUCCCGUCCAAACCCACCGGCCCCCAUGUCGUCCACCGUGACCUACAGCAGUCGCGGCGACUCCCUAUUCCUCUCCCUCCGCGCCCUGGAGUCUCUGGUUGGUCUGUGUUUGUUUCAAACAAGGUGGUCAGGCGUACGUCCUGUGCCUCUCUUUGUUGCUGCACCUCGUUUGAGACGAAAACAGACCAACCGGAGUCUCCUGGCAUAGCAUCAUCAGGAAUUAUAUAAUCUCUUCUUGCCUCAGGAGAUGGGAUGCAGCAGGUUCCAUCUCCAAUUGCAAGCUUCCUAGUAGUAUCGGUCAGGGCCAGGCCGUGAGAAGUGCCAGUUUCUAUUGAUCAAUAAUGGUUACAAUUCAAUCAAUUUCUGUUGUUGCAAUUCAUGUAGCUUUUGGGCUAAGUUGGUUUGAAUCGUUUGAUUUAGGGACAUGGACUUGGUGCCGCGAACUCAUGUUGUCCAAACCUGUUCUGUUGUGAACCAACGUAUGUGCAAGACCUAUAUGGGCUAUGACCCCCUAACUAUAUUUGCCACCCAUGGAUGGAAACCUACAUCACGAAGAGUCAUCUCCAGCUGCUGAUGCCUGUAGGAUUUCCUUGGUUAGCUCCUUACAAGUUGAUAUUGUCAUAUGAAAGGGAAUUGAUGAAACAGUCGACUGAAUUGAUGAAACAGUGGACUGAAGCUCAUCCCCCUAGGUCCAAGGAAUUGAUGAAUUGUUAGUUCCUGGAAGAAGCUGAUGUGUGCCACUCACCGGAGGGGAUUAAUGAAGCUCUUAUAGGUGGUGAAAUCCUUUUUUUGGUCAACUGACUGAUUCGAGCAAAUCUUCGAGGUUGGUGCUCAUAUUUUUGUUUGUGGGGAGUUCUUCACUUGACAAAUCCGUAACGGCUGCUGUCAGGUAAUUAGUUCAGACGUGGGACUGUUUUACCUCAUCUCUUCAUGCAAAUAUAAUCCAAACAUUGUCUAUUUAUAUCAUGGUGUUUCCAUCAAGAUGUUAACUGAACUUCAAAACAAAUCAGUUCGUUGUGAUCACCUAAUUGCCUUAAGUUAUUUGAGACCUGAAAAGCUGGGCCUGUUUAGAAUUGGCUUGCUAUGAUGCUACAGUACUAACAAGUCACAGGUGGUUAAGAGACCUUUAAAUAGAUCCGUUGAGUUUAUAAUUUAUUUAUCAUGGUGUCAUGUAUGCAUUGCGACACAUUCUACCACACUGGCUAGAUGUUUGAUUUGACAGUGUCAUUUGAUAUUCUUUGGAGGUCUCAUUUUUUGAGGAAGGAGAGCCUAAACUUGAUGGGAAACCUAGAGACUUUGAAGGUUUGCUUUGCCCUUUGGUUGAGAUUUAGCAUGGCAUUGAUGUGACUAACUUUUAUUUAUGUGUGCUGUGACUAACUCCGUCUUAAAAGAGUAACUUAUUGAGCAGUUAAUAGUUCGGACAUCACCACAUGAUCGCUUCAGAAGUGAAGUCACCAACCUGCAUGCAACUCCCUGGUAUAUUUCUAGAGCUUGAGCCCAAUUCUUCAGUUUCUGCAAGAUGGUUUCUAAGCACUUGAGUAAAUUUCACUUAUUAUUCUUAAUUCACUUUUCAGUCUUACUAAAUAAUACGUUGAUUAGAAUUUAUCACUUGAUAAGGCUGCUAUUAUGUUUGUGUACAUGUAAUAACAAGCACUUUCCAGGCAUAAACACAUGCUACAGUAAUGCAUUCACGUAAGCUUAUACUCCAAACUUUAGUGUGCAAAGGUGGUGCUACUUGAAUUCUGCACUAACUCAUAAUAACCUUUGCUGUGAGUUUCCUGUAAUUGAAAUGUGUUGCAGUGUGCAUCUGUAUAUGACCAUUGUAUGCUGUAUGAUUCAUGAUCUAUAAUUAAUCAGUCAUGAUCUCCAUUUGUCUGA